rnacentral:lncRNA from 1 species
GAGGAGUUAAGAAGGGAAAGCAAUCAGUCAUUUUUCCAAAGGCCAGUCUGCAGGGCUGGGACUGAGCACAGGCUGAAAUCAAGGUUGGACCACCUCUCAGCCCUUCGCAAGCCCUCCAGACCUAGCAGUCUCCAUUUGAUCCUGUAUUGGAAAUGGGCAUGGAAGAUGCCACAACUUCUCAAGCUGUCCCUAGGAAAAGGUGUGGGUGAACUUCUGGCUUGAAGAAUCUGAGGAUGGAACAAGGUCAACUUUGCUCUUCUCCUGGGUUCUGGAACCAGACCUUCCUAACCUGCUCUGCUCACCUGGGGCCCCAGCCCACUGUCACCCAUGCCCUCAUCUCCAGACUCUUCUUCCAGCAACUAGGCUUGCAAAGCAGGGAUGGUGGUUGGAGCACCAGCUUCCGUGUCAAGCAGGGCAGGCUGCACUCCCAGUGCCCCGGUGCCUCUGGCUCUCGAGGCUUGUUCCUCAUCUCUAGCUCCUUCACAGAGUUGUCCUGAGGCUCACAAUGGGAACACAUCAAUAAAUUACCUAUUGCAUUAAAA